rnacentral:rRNA from 1 species
CCUACGGGGGGCAGCAGUGGGGAAUAUUGCACAAUGGGCGCAAGCCUGAUGCAGCCAUGCCGCGUGUGUGAAGAAGGCCUUCGGGUUGUAAAGCACUUUCAGCGGGGAGGAAGGCGGUGAGGUUAAUAACCUCAUCGAUUGACGUUACCCGCAGAAGAAGCACCGGCUAACUCCGUGCCAGCAGCCGCGGUAAUACGGAGGGUGCAAGCGUUAAUCGGAAUUACUGGGCGUAAAGCGCACGCAGGCGGUCUGUCAAGUCGGACGUGAAAUCCCCGGGCUCAACCUGGGAACUGCAUUCGAAACUGGCAGGCUAGAGUCUUGUAGAGGGGGGUAGAAUUCCAGGUGUAGCGGUGAACUGCGUAGAGAUCUGGAGGAAUACCGGUGGCGGAGGCGGCCCCCUGGACAAAGACUGACGCUCAGGUGCGAAAGCGUGGGGAGCAAACAGGAUUAGAUACCCGGGUAGUC